rnacentral:lncRNA from 1 species
CCCAAACAAGGUUAUUAAAACGCCAAAAAUGUUGAAACGCUCAUGGGUGGAAUUUUAAUUUUUAAACGGUUUAAACAACAUAGGUAAAUUUCAAUAUAUCAUAAUUUUAGACAAUAACAUAGUCAAAUACCAAACAACCAACAUAAGUUCACGUAAUAAUAUUGUGCAAAAUGACAUGUCCACAACCACAUUACCACAAUAGCACAAGUUCAGCUAAUAGCGAGCCGACAACCACAAACAAAGUGCAAUGAGAUGUCUAGUAGUUCACAAUCACAAACAUAGCACAAAAGCAACUAAAGUGGAAUGCAAUGUCCACAACCACAAGCACACAAGUGUUACUCAAGCACUCAAUAACCAUCAUCCAAAUCAUCUAAAGUAACAUCAUCCUUGUCUUGCUCAUCAGCACAACCACCACUGUUGUUUGUUGCUUCUUCAUCAUCCAUGUCAAGGUCAUCAAGCACAAAAUUUUCAUCGUCUUCAUUCUCUUCACCCACAUCAAGCCCAUCUUCAUCAUCAUCAAGAAUUGGCUACCAUGAGCUCUCCUAGGAAAGUUGUGGCCUCGAAGUUGUGUGGAUGCACCGACGACAUGAUCAACAUGCAUUGCUCUGAUAGUUAAGAGGACACCAAUAGAAUAGUACUCCACUGAAAUAAUGGGCUAAUGAUUUAUGAUUGUGUAGUUCCUUCUUUUUUUUUUUUCUGAAAUACGCAGGAGAGCUGCGCAUCUUUGUAUUAAUAGAAGAAAAGAAAGGGGGAGAGAACCCCGAUACAGCACACACACCACUAGAGACUAACUACGGACCUUCAGUUUCUGAACUAUGUGAUGCUAGAAGCUAGUUGCACUUUGGAACCGUUGCAGUGAUGCCGUUUUCCAAAGCCAGCAACCAACGUCUGCUCAUACUUC